AUUAAACGCUGGCGGCAGGCCUAACACAUGCAAGUCGAGCGAGCGGCGGACGGGUGAGUAAUGUAUGGGGACUGCCCGUUAGAGGGGGAGCACUACUGGAAACGAUAACUAAUACCGCACACGAUCGGAUAACCCAUAUGGGAUUAGCGAGUAGGUGAGGUAAUGGCCCACCGAGGAGACGAUCCCUAGCUGGUCUGUGAGGAUGAUCAGCAACACUGGGACUGAGAAACGGCCCAGACUCCUACGGAGGCAGCAGGGGGGAAUAUUGCGCAAUGGGCGCCAGCCUGAUGCAGCCAUGCCGCGGGCAUGAAGAAGGCCCUAGGGGUGUAAAGUACUUUCAGUCGGGAGGCGUUACCGACAGAAGAAGCACCGGCUAACUCCGUGCCAGCAGCCGCGGUAAUUC
rnacentral:rRNA from 1 species